AGGCAGUCUAGCAUCUGUCAUUCCAUUGACCACUACAGUUACUUCCUCUGACUUGUGGGGCUAUGUUGGUCUCCCCUUUACUCACAGCUCUAAGUGCAUCCUUCCCAAAGCUACCCACUCAGGAGGAGAAAAAAAAUCUCCCUAGAAGGAGAGCAUAUCUCUUUGGUCAAGGUGGGACAAGAAUUUGAGGUCUCCUGCCAGACCCUCCAAACAAGCUCUCAAUGGAAACUUCAUAUAUGAGGCAUUAUAAUUCUUACCUGAAAGUUAUACUUGAUUAUGUACAUUUUUC
rnacentral:snRNA from 1 species